rnacentral:rRNA from 1 species
UGAGGAAUAUUGGUCAAUGGACGCAAGUCUGAACCAGCCAAGUAGCGUGCAGGAUGACGGCCCUAUGGUUUGUAAACUGCUUUUAUAUGGGGAUAAAGUGGGGAACGUGUUCCCUUUUGCAGGUACCAUAUGAAUAAGGACCGGCUAAUUCCGUGCCAGCAGCCGCGGUAAUACGGAAGGUUCGGGCGUUAUCCGGAUUUAUUGGGUUUAAAGGGAGCGUAGGCCGUUUGGUAAGCGUGUUGUGAAAUGUAGGAGCUCAACUUCUAGAUUGCAGCGCGAACUGUCAGACUUGAGUGCGCACAACGUAGGCGGAAUUCAUGGUGUAGCGGUGAAAUGCUUAGAUAUCAUGAAGAACACCGAUUGCGAAGGCAGCUUACGGGAGCGCAACUGACGCUGAAGCUCGAAGGUGCGGGUAUCGAACAGG